AUUGAACGCUGGCGGCAGGCCUAACACAUGCAAGUCGAGCGGUAGCACAGAGAGCUUGCUCUCGGGUGACGAGCGGCGGACGGGUGAGUAAUGUCUGGGAAACUGCCUGAUGGAGGGGGAUAACUACUGGAAACGGUAGCUAAUACCGCAUAACGUCGCAAGACCAAAGAGGGGGACCUUCGGGCCUCUUGCCAUCAGAUGUGCCCAGAUGGGAUUAGCUAGUAGGUGGGGUAACGGCUCACCUAGGCGACGAUCCCUAGCUGGUCUGAGAGGAUGACCAGCCACACUGGAACUGAGACACGGUCCAGACUCCUACGGGAGGCAGCAGUGGGGAAUAUUGCACAAUGGGCGCAAGCCUGAUGCAGCCAUGCCGCGUGUAUGAAGAAGGCCUUCGGGUUGUAAAGUACUUUCAGCGGGGAGGAAGGUGUUGUGGUUAAUAACCACAGCAAUUGACGUUACCCGCAGAAGAAGCACCGGCUAACUCCGUGCCAGCAGCCGCGGUAAUAC
rnacentral:rRNA from 1 species